GACGAACGCUGGCGGCGUGCUUAGCACAUGCAAGUCGAACGGAAAGGCCCUGCUUUUGUGGGGUGCUCGAGUGGCGAACGGGUGAGUAACACGUGAGUAACCUGCCCUUGACUUUGGGAUAACUUCAGGAAACUGGGGCUAAUACCGGAUAGGAGCUCCUGCUGCAUGGUGGGGGUUGGAAAGUUUCGGCGGUUGGGGAUGGACUCGCGGCUUAUCAGCGUGUUGGUGGGGUAGUGGCUUACCAAGGCUUUGACGGGUAGCCGGCCUGAGAGGGUGACCGGCCACAUUGGGACUGAGAUACGGCCCAGACUCCUACGGGAGGCAGCAGUGGGGAAUAUUGCACAAUGGGCGGAAGCCUGAUGCAGCAACGCCGCGUGCGGGAUGACGGCCUUCGGGUUGUAAACCGCUUUCGCCUGUGACGAAGCGUGAGUGACGGUAAUGGGUAAAGAAGCACCGGCUAACUACGUG
rnacentral:rRNA from 1 species